AUUGAACGCUGGCGGCGUGCUUUACACAUGCAAGUCGGACGGCAGCAUGGGAUGGGUAACCAUUCUGAUGGCGAGUGGCGAACGGGUGAGUAAUACAUCGAGACAUGCCCUUUAGAGUGGGAUAACCGAUCGAAAGGUUGGCUAAUACCGCAUAAUCUCUGAGGAGGAAAGGUGGGGACUAGGAGACUGGCCUGCCGCUGAAGGAAUGGUCGAUGGCUGAUUAGCUAGUUGGUGGGGUAAAGGCUUACCAAGGCGAUGAUCGGUAGCUGUUCUGAGAGGAAGAUCAGCCACACUGGGACUGAGACACGGCCCAGACUCCUACGGGAGGCAGCAGUGGGGAAUAUUGGACAAUGGACGCAAGUCUGAUCCAGCCAUUCCGCGUGCAGGAUGAAGGCCCUCGGGUUGUAAACUGCUUUUGUACGGAACGAAAAGGUCUCUCCUAAUACGAGGGGCUCAUGACGGUACCGUAAGAAUAAGCACCGGCUAACUACGUGCCAGCAGCCGCAGUAA
rnacentral:rRNA from 1 species